UACGUAGGUGGCAAGCGUUGUCCGGAUUUACUGGGCGUAAAGAGCGCGCAGGCGGUCGGAUAAGUCGAAUGUGAAAGCCCCCGGCUCAACUGGGGAGGGUCAUUCGAUACUGUUCGACUCGAAGGCAGGAGAGGGAAGUGGAAUUCCCGGUGUAGUGGUGAAAUGCGUAGAUAUCGGGAGGAACACCAGUGGCGAAGGCGACUCACUGGCCCGAUACUGACGCUGAGGUGCGAAAGCGUGGGGAGCAAACAGG
rnacentral:rRNA from 1 species